rnacentral:rRNA from 1 species
CGGGUAGCUGGUCUGAGAGGACGACCAGUCACACUGGAACUGAGACACGGUCCAGACACCUACGGGUGGCAGCAGUCGAGAAUUUUUCACAAUGGGGGCAACCCUGAUGGAGCGACGCCGCGUGGAGGAUGAAGGCUUUCGGGUUGUAAACUCCUGUCAUUUGAGAACAAGGUGCAUCGAUUAACUGUCGAUGUAUUGAUAGUAUCAGAAGAGGAAGAGACGGCUAACUCUGUGCCAGCAGCCGCGGUAAUACAGAGGUCUCAAGCGUUGUUCGGAUUCAUUGGGCGUAAAGGGUGCGUAGGUGGCGGGGUAAGUCAGGUGUGAAAUUCCGGAGCUCAACUCCGAAACUGCAUUUGAUACUGCCUUGCUUGAGGACUGGAGAGGAGACUGGAAUUUACGGUGUAGCAGUGAAAUGCGUAGAUAUCGUAAGGAAGACCAGUGGCGAAGGCGGGUCUCUGGACAGAUCCUGACACUGAGGCACGAAGGCUAGGGGAGCAAAAGGGAUUAGAUACCCCUGUAGUC